rnacentral:rRNA from 1 species
AUCAGAAGUGCGAAUGCUGACAUAAGUAACGAUAAAGCGGGUGAAAAGCCCGCUCGCCGGAAGACCAAGGGUUCCUGUCCAACGUUAAUCGGGGCAGGGUGAGUCGACCCCUAAGGCGAGGCCGAAAGGCGUAGUCGAUGGGAAACGGGUUAAUAUUCCCGUACUUGGUGUUACUGCGAAGGGGGGACGGAGAAGGCUAUGUUGGCCGGGCGACGGUUGUCCCGGUUUAAGCGUGUAGGUGUGUGUUCCAGGUAAAUCCGGUUCACUUUAACACUGAGGCGUGACGACGAGGCACUACGGUGCUGAAGCAACAAAUGCCCUGCUUCCAGGAAAAGCCUCUAAGCAUCAGGUAACAUCAAAUCGUACCCCAAACCGACACAGGUGGUCAGGUAGAGAAUACCAAGGCGCUUGAGAGAACUCGGGUGAAGGAACUAGGCAAAAUGGUGCCGUAACUUCGGGAGAAGGCACGCUGACACGUAGGUGAAGUGAUUUACUCAUGGAGCUGAAGUCAGUCGAAGAUACCAGCUGGCUGCAACUGUUUAUUAAAAACACAGCACUGUGCAAACACGAAAGUGGACGUAUACGGUGUGACGCCUGCCCGGUGCCGGAAGGUUAAUUGAUGGGGUCAGCGCAAGCGAAGCUCCUGAUCGAAGCCCCGGUAAACGGCGGCCGUAACUAUAACGGUCCUAAGGUAGCGAAAUUCCUUGUCGGGUAAGUUCCGACCUGCACGAAUGGCGUAAUGAUGGCCAGGCUGUCUCCACCCGAGACUCAGUGAAAUUGAACUCGCUGUGAAGAUGCAGUGUACCCGCGGCAAGACGGAAAGACCCCGUGAACCUUUACUAUAGCUUGACACUGAACAUUGAGCCUUGAUGUGUAGGAUAGGUGGGAGGCUUUGAAGCGUGGACGCCAGUCUG